UAAUACGGAGGGGGCUAGCGUUGUUCGGAAUCAUUGGGCGUAAAGGGCGCGUAGGCGGCUGAUCAAGUCGGAGGUGAAAUCCCUCGGCUCAACUGAGGAAUUGCCUUCGAUACUGUUCGGCUUGAGUCCUGGAGAGGGUAGCGGAAUUCCCGGUGUAGCGGUGAAAUGCGUAGAGACCGGGAAGAACACCAGUGGCGAAGGCGGCUACCUGGACAGGUACUGACGCUGAAGCGCGAAAGCUAGGGGAGCAAACAGGAUUAGAUACCCUGGUAGUCCUAGCUGUAAACGAUGGGCACUUGGUGUUGCGGGUAUCGACCCCUGCAGUGCCGAAGCUAACGCAUUAAGUGCCCCGCCUGGGGAGUACGGUCGCAAGGCUG
rnacentral:rRNA from 1 species